rnacentral:rRNA from 1 species
GACGAACGCUGGCGGCGUGCUUAACACAUGCAAGUCGAACGGAAAGGCCCUGCUUGCAGGGUACUCGAGUGGCCAACGAGUGAGUAACACGUGAAUGGUCUGCCCUGAACUUCGGGAUAAGCCUGGGAAACUGGGUCUACUACCGGAUAGAAGCCAUUAUACGUGAGAUGGUUGGAAAGUUUGUUCGGUGUAGGUUGAGCUCGCGGCCUAUCAGCUUGUUGGUGGGGUAAUGGCCUACUAAGCCGGCGACGGGUAGCAGGACUGAGAGGGUGAACGGCCACAUUGGGACUGAGAGACGGCACAGACUCCGAAGGGAGGCAGCAGGGGGGAAGCUUGAACAAGGGGCGCAAGCCUGAUGCAGAGAGGCCUCGUGGGGGAUGACGGCCUUCGGGUUGUAAACUCCUUUCGCUAGGGACGAAGCUUUUUGUGACGGUACCUAGCCAAGAAGCCCCGGCUAACUACGUG